UCUCCGUAGGUGAACCUGCGGAGGGAUCAUUACAAGUGACCCCGGUCUUACCACCGGGAUGUUCAUAACCCUUUGUUGUCCGACUCUGUUGCCUCCGGGGCGACCCUGCCUUCGGGCGGGGGCUCCGGGUGGACACUUCAAACUCUUGCGUAACUUUGCAGUCUGAGUAGACUUAAUUAAUAAAUUAAAACUUUUAACAACGGAUCUCUUGGUUCCG
rnacentral:misc_RNA from 1 species